UCCACGUUUCACACGGACAUUUAUUGCAGACGCACGCAGUGUCGGGCCAGCGGAAAAGCGACUGAUGAGCGUCUGCACGUGAAUUUUAAGACACUGGGUUAGAUGUGUGGCGUGAUGAGGAUUUGGCAUAAAAUGGUCAUAACGCUAAUCGGGAUUGCUAACCCUUUAGCAUCGGCUCAUUUUGUCGUCGUCGUCGUCUCGAUUUCUGCGUUGGCCUACACUUGUACACGCGCGUGCGUGUGCGUGUGUGUGGUUUCAGGCCCUGAAGCUCCCGCCGCCGUGUAGCUGCGGACCGAGGAGCUUCACCCGCGCCGCCGGGUAGGUUCCCGCCCGACACCCCCGUCGGCAUUUUUGGCGGUUUUGUCGUCGUGACGCGCCCGCCGGGUCUCACGUCGGCCUCGCCGGACGGACCGAAGGACGGCGGCGUGCGGCUGGAAGCUCGCGUGGACGCGCCGGAGGCCCGAAAGGCGGACGGGGAGCAGGCGGAGGUCCUGCGGCAGCUCGUCCGCGACACGGGUCACGUCCGACUCCCGGCUUUGGCGUUGCGGUCUCCUCAUGUGUUCGCGGCGUCUUUUCUUCUCAUGUUCUCGUGUUCCCGUUCAGACCGGCGCGAGGCGUGCGGACAUCUCCACGAGCGCGUGAGGCGCCACGAGGACGCCGUCGAGCGCCUGACCGAGGAAUGUCGUCAGGCGAGCGACGCCCGGAAAGUAGUCGUACGUUUUGGUGUCAAGGAAGUACAGUGGUGAACUUCAGAUACGAGCGAUGUAGCGAGAUGAUGUCAUUUCAUCUCAUUGGAAUCCAUUACAUUACUGAGAGAAAGUGUUGAGAAAGUUGCUUUUGGAAACUUCCAUGGUUACAAUUGAAGUUGUGCUCCCUCUCAAGUCGACGCUUGUGAUUGGCUGUCUCUGGUCAUGGGGCCUUCUGCCUUCUGCCUUCUGCCCCAUGACCAGAUUCUCCAACAUGGCAUAUUUUUCCCAAUCUGACCUCAAAGUGCAACCUUUUAGUUUGAGAUUUGUAUGCUUCCACUUUUGAACACCAAAGAACGUUGACUUUUGAAGACUUUCACCUUUUUCAUUUUGGAGGUUUUUUUGGAACAUGAACUUAUCUGGUUGCCGUAUGAAGUGAACAUUUAAAUUGUGCACAUUUGUCAAUAGGUCAACAUGGUAUCAUGUUCUCCACGUGCUGUGCAUGGAUAAUGCAACAAACAUUUUCUUCAUCUAUUUACAUUGCAUCAUGUUUUGUUAUCAGAUUAUUCUUUGUGUAAAAUCAUUUUAUGGCUUGGACUUUUUGGAGGAAACAUCCAAGGCUCCUGUUGAUGCAAUCAUUGAAAAUGAAGAAGUCAUCAAAAGCAAUGAGUUACUUACACUGUUGUUACUUGGCGAAAGUCAUUGAAAUAGUUACACUGCUAUUACAUUUUCAACAGGGUAACUUUUGUCAACGUUUAGCUUUAGCUUUGGAGCCAAUUUUAGCGAGGUCCAUUUCCCAACGCCACUGCUGAGCUUUUUUUGCUUUGAUCUGAUUUCCAAUAUUUUGGAGCGCUAUAUUUCCUCAUGAAAAUACAUUUCACAACAACCUUUUCUUUUUUGGGGGGGGGGCGGGACUGUUAAAGUGGAAGUGACCUUUCCUAACAUGUCCGUCAAGUGAGCCCGUCGCCACCUCUGACCUCAGCCGGACGACCUCCGAGGGACCUCGGACCCCGUGAUGUCGUCAUUGACCUCUGACCCCUGUGAGAAACGAGGUCGCGGCCCGGACGACCUCGGCGGGAAGUUCAGCCUUCUCCCGGAGCGCAAAAUGGCCGACGGCGUGCGGCGGCAGCACGAGGUCGCCGAAACGAACGCAUCCGAGCACGACGCGCUUCGUUACCGUGUCGUUCGUUGCGCUUGUGUGUGUGUGAGAAUGCCUGUGUGCGCGCGUGUGGACAUUUGUGUGUAUGGCUGCGUUUGUGUGCAAAUGGGUGUGUGCAUGUGUAAAGGAUUGUGUGUGUAUACUGUACGUGUGCUCGUGAAUGUGUGUGCGUACGCAGGUGGACAUUUUGUGUACGCGUGCGUUUGCGUGCUCGUCCGGCGGCGUGCAGGCGUCCAUCUCAAAGCUUCGACGCGAGUGCCAUCAGGCGUCUCCAUGACGACAACAAACACAAACGCGUCCACAUCCAGCAACUGCUGAGGACCACAGAGCAUCUGCAGGAGAACAAAGCCGACAAACGCUCGCUCCGCGCCGAAGUGGUAAGAUUCCUCCGUCGGAACGCAGGCCCGCUACGAUACGGCGUGAUGGCGGUGUGAGUGUGUGCGUGUCAGAAGAAGCAUCUGGAAGCUGAGCACAAGAACCUCCAGAGCACCCGCCAGAGGCGGCGCAGUUCGGAAGAUUCUCAGCAUGACGCCGAGGGCGCAACCGCCGCUGGCGUCAGAAAACAGCUUCUGGACGCACAUCAUUGUCUGUCAUGUGACCGUCGUGUCGUUAGACAUCUUCACGCAGCUAAAAGUGUCUCGGGGGCGUGGCCUUUGUCAGACGUGACGCACUUCAGGUACCCGCCGGUGUCCCGCAGCUGCGGCGGGGCGCGCACGGUGACGCCCCGGCGCGGGGAGGCCCCGCGGACGGACGGCAGGGGGCGCCGCCGUACGGCCGUCGCAUGAGAGGUGACAUGUUCGCAGCGAAAAUCCCAUUUCCGAUUCGAAUCUAUUUUGCAACUCAACAGAAGCAGACGAUCACCAAAUAAUACAAUUUCCCUUUAUUGCUUUCCUGACUAAUAGAAAAGUAGUAAUUGGUGCGAAGGAAGUAUUGUUGCAUUUGGACGGACUGACAAAGAUUUUUGUAUGUUGGGAAUGAGAAUGAGGAGCUUGCGUUCUUAGGGGAUGUUCUGGGAAAGCUUUGCUGUAUUCAUUUGUUCAAAUGUGUUUUUUAUAUAAUUCAUUUGCAUUCAUAUACCUAUGCAUUAUUGUACUCACAAGAAAAACGACUCGGCAAUUGUUAAAUGACAUGAACGAAUAAAAAGUAAAAAAAAAAAAAAAAAAAAAGCCAUACCAAUAAUCUGAAUGAAUAAAAUUGGAUCAAAUAGCUAAAUGAAUGCAGCAAAUAUUCUCGGGCUCUGGGAUUCCAGAACAUACGUACACGUUGGCAGCCCGCGGGCCGUACUUUGCCCACACUUGGCCUAAAUAAACACUUUUGGAAUUGGAACAAUGGCCCGAGGAAAUACAGUCCUCAACUAGUUUUCAAUUGGCUCGGAUUCAUCACGACGACGUUGACUUCCUGAUCUUGUGACUCGGCGGGGCGGGGGGCGUGGCCAAUCGUAUGCCAGGAAUCGCUCGAUCGUCGAUCGAGUCCGCCUGCCAGCGAGGGGAAAUUGAAAAAUGAAUUUCGGUUGGGUCGGCACGUGUACACCGGAACUCGUCUCCAUGCCAACGACUCUCAAUUAUUGACGGCGACCCCCGCGAUUGGUGCGUUACGGAGCGCAAAUAGCGAAAAUCAGCAAAUUGAAACAAUAAUACAUUUUUUCCACCCCAAGAAAAUCUUGAAUGUACCGCCGGUAAGUGUUUUCCACAAAUAAAAAAAGAAAAAAAAUCCCAAACUCCCAAAAAAUAAAUACAAUUGGAAAAAAAAAAACUGCAAAUAAAUGAAUCCGUGGGUG